AGCUUCCCCUGGGCUUUCAUAGAUGCAAAAUUACUCACAAAGAGAUGGGUUGCCCGGGCAAAAAAUGAGUCACAGUGACAGGAUCCUCUCGUGUUGCUGGGAAGUGGCAGCGAGCUGAAGCUCCCAGGUGACACAGAUAUGGGAAGGAAAGUCCCCCAGGUCUCAGAUAUGAUGGAAUCAGAGACACAGAAAGACAAACAAACAAAACGGGAAGACUUGCCACGAUUCCGAAAAGUUGUCUAAAUUGGUCCCUAUCGAGUAAUAAAAUCACAGGUACUUCUUCA